GACAAAAUGUACACUUGAUAUCCAUAAUUUAUGGUACAAAUUGAUACAAAUUGAUAAUAGGUUAGGUAAAUGUUUCAUGAUAAUAGGUUAGGUAAAUGUUCCAUGAUAAUGGGUUAGGUAAAUGUUUCAUGAUAAUGGGUUAGGUAAAUGUUUCAUGAUAAGAAUUUCAUGUCUUUUGUAUUAAAGAAUUAAAUGGAUGAAAUAUGAAGUUUUAUUAAAAUAAAAAGGGAUGAAAAGAACAAAGUUUUGUCCAUCUUUGUUCAUCAUAGCUGAAAGUUAGAGAAGAGAAAGGAGAGGAGAAAGCUCUUGAGUAUUCGGUCAUUAGGAGGAGGAAAAUUGAAGGAAAUCCCCAACCAUAGUGGGCUUGGAGCUGUGAAGGAAUUCGGAGUGGCCACCCGUUCUAAAAGUUUGACUUUCUUCUGGUGAACUAGACAUCCUUUUAAUUACGUUUGAGGUUUUGGGCUUUUAAAUGUAAUAAGGCCGCUUAUUUAUUUUUGAUGGUUUUUAAUAUGUAUUACUAAGAUAGGUAAUACUUAUUUUAACUAUUGAAAUUGGAUAGCUUUAGGGCGCGUUUCAAAAACAA